CAAGAGUUCCUCUUAACGACUUGCGAAACAAGCUUUUAGGCCAUUACCACAUCAACAUACCAGAGUUCCAUUUACGUCCUGACUCAGGUUCUUCAUCUCCCCCACAAUGAAAGCAACUAGCCAAAACCAAAAUCCUUCCUUAUGACCUGGGAGUGUUCCACUCUUGCUACAAAGACAUCCACAGGAGGAGCUACAGCUGGGAUAUCCCUCCAAGUGAUCUGAAAUGGCUUCACAGACUGCCAUGCUGAGGACCCAAAGAAGGCUUAGCAGAUCAAAGGUGGGAUGAUGGAGAUUAGAGGAGGACUAAAGUGAAGAACCCCCAAGUGGCCAUUGUGAUUAUAAAUUUGUGCUCAAUACCACAUUUCAUGUGAGAAUUGAAAUGAUGAUCCAGCAUGCCAUUUAUUGUAAAGUAUUACAUAGAGGAAAGAAAUAAAAAUCAUUUAUCUGAA